rnacentral:rRNA from 1 species
UACGUAGGGUGCAAGCGUUAAUCGGAAUUACUGGGCGUAAAGCGUGCGCAGGCGGUUUCGUAAGUCUGUCGUGAAAGCCCCGGGCUCAACCUGGGAAUUGCGAUGGAGACUGCGAGGCUAGAGUGUGUCAGAGGGGGGUAGAAUUCCACGUGUAGCAGUGAAAUGCGUAGAUAUGUGGAGGAACACCGAUGGCGAAGGCAGCCCCCUGGGAUAACACUGACGCUCAUGCACGAAAGCGUGGGGGAGCAAACAGG